CGCACGGCCCCGCCCCUCGCACCCGCAGCACGCCGAUGACGUCGCCGGCCUCGUCCAGCUCCAUGUCGCCCUCCGUCGCCAGGAUUCGCUGCACCGUCUGCAGGACGCUGGUUGCCAUGGUGACGUCGCCGCACACAAACAUGUGGCCCCGCUCGAGGCACAGCACGCGGUGCACCUCAGCAGCCAGCUCCGUCCGCAGGAUGUCCUGCACGAGUCCUGCAACCUGCUUGUCCAUCCCGGGCUUAAAUUCCAGGGCUCAUCCAGGAUUGGUUGCUCCCUCUUCUCCCAAGCGAUAUCACCAGCCCUGUUAAUCUUUCUUUUGUGUGUGAGGACACCAGUGGGUCUGAGCAGGAGACACUGUUGAAGCGGAUUUUGUAACUCCUGGCAAGAGAAGACAAAGACAGUGCUGUUUCAGAGAACUGGGGUCAUGACGCAAGCCCAGCCACAGCCUGGGGACAGUUUCGGUGUCUCCACAUCUGGGAUAGGAAAGACUCUGCCCUUGAGCUUAGCUUUGUCUCCCAGAGAUCUCUGUGCCUUCAGGCCCUGCUUUGCCUCCCCUCCCCUCUCAAAAGGGGACCUCAGGACCAGCCAGCCCUCAGUCCUGGGGACUGCGAGUGGCCAGGUCCCAAGGAAGGAGGGCAUCCCAAGCUGUGAUGGGGGUCCAUCCGGCUUGUUGGAGACGUGCAGGGACAACAUUUCAGCCCUCCAUUCCUCAGUGUCUCCAAACACCUCACUGUCUUCCCUCUCACCUCCCCCCAGGCUCCCACCACCACUCACUUGUGCUGUUCUGGCCGAGGGGAGCUGUUGUAGGGACCCGACAUCUCCAUCAGGGCUGCCGCAAAACUCUAGAGGGGAGGUGUUAGUAUCAUGGUUAGUUUUGUUUUAGUUCUUUUUUUUUUUUUUUUUUAAGAUUUUGUUAUUUAUUCAUGAGAGAUACAGAGAGAGAGAGGCAGAGACAGA